rnacentral:rRNA from 1 species
UACGGAGGGAGCUAGCGUUGUUCGGAAUUACUGGGCGUAAAGCGCACGUAGGCGGCUUUGUAAGUUAGAGGUGAAAGCCCGGGGCUCAACUCCGGAACUGCCUUUAAGACUGCAUCGCUUGAAUCCAGGAGAGGUGAGUGGAACUGCGAGUGUAGAGGUGAAAUUCGUAGAUAUUCGCAAGAACACCAGUGGCGAAGGCGGCUCUCUGGGACGGUACUGACGCUGAGACGCGAAAGCGUGGGGAGCGAACAGG